AAAAUUUUUUGCGCGUGGUGAAGAAAGUCUAGAAGCAAGGAAGAAAAAUGGAGGACAUUUUUUUUGUCAAAUUUACCUUUAUUGGAAGGUAAUAUGCUUUCUUUAAUAUCAAUCCCUGUAGUAGAGUACUUAGACUGCCGAUAUAGAUAGAAAUAUAUGACAUCAAGCCCGAAUUUAAAGCGAUAUUCCGAUUAUUUCGGCAUAAAGUUUGUGCUUUUGCUUUGCACGUGGUUCGCUUUUGUAUGUGGUUGCCGACCUAUAAACCGUGUUUUAGUUCAUAAUUAUUAUCAAAACUAUUGACCAAGUGAGUCAAAAGAUGACUCAAGACCUAGAAUUGUUUAAGUUAUUGAAAAAAAUUGUCGUCUCUGAGUUCUUGCUGAACAUUUGUAUAUUAUAAAAUGCCUGGGACGAAUAUUUCAUCCAUUUAGGGGCGGGGGUGUGAAUAGUUUUUCAGAUCGUCGCAUUUUACAGAAAAAAUUGUUCAGAUUUUGGAUCUGGCGAAUAUUUUACAAUUUACAUGGAUUUGCGGAUCUUAUUGACGCAGCGGAUUGCAGAUUUAUCUAAUAUUUUGGCUCGGAUUGUGGAUUUGGCUUGCAAUUUAGUUCGGAUCCUGGAUUGUGACUUCAGAGUAGAGCUUUUAGCGCUGAAAAGUGAAAAUUGCUUCAUUUUAUAAGACAAAAUCCAGAAUUCCAUUUCUUGACAUCGCUGGAGUGAAUUUUGAUAGUGAAAGACUAGGAGGUGCAGUCAUAGAUUUAGGUGGGGCUUCUCGGUAAGCGGGCUAGUAAGAUUAAAGUUCGUAGGCUGAUAGGGCCAAAAAAAAAUAUGUGGGUUUCCGGUUUCCCGACCCUACCUAGCUUUUGGACAUCGAAAUUCCGACCCUAAACUUUUUUAUUGGAUCAUGCUUGUAAGUGUUUCCACUUAGAGGAAAAAGUUUGCAGAAAAUUGAAAUUUGAGGCAAUAUUAGGGAAAUUUAUCUUUGGACGUGGAAGCACUGACUAAACAAAAUGGCGUCCGCUUGUUCGGAAAAUUAAAAAAAAAGUUAAAAAAAAAAGUUAAAACCGAUCUACCCUACCUAAGUUUUUAUAAGAAGAAACCGGAAACCCACAUAUUUUUUUUGGCCUAGUGGAAAGUUUGAAAAGAAACUUGUUCAAUUUUGAAGCACAUACUCCAGGUGGAGAAAUAAAUAGUUCUAUAAAAAAAGAUAUUUAAAAACAUAUAUUUACUGGUACAGCAGACACCUGGAGUCAAAAUGAAUUGACAUUGGGUCGUUCCAGAAAAGAUCCAUACCCCCCUACGGAGGAAAUCGAAAAUAACCCCCUCCCCCCCUUCGGACAUCCUUGAAUGGUUCAUCCUCCCCCCCUCUCCGGACAUCAAAGCCCAAAAUUACCCCCCUCCCCUUCGGACAUCCACUAUUUCUAAAUUUUUCUAAAGGCUACCUUGCCGUUUGAAAACGUCACCGAAAAUUAGACUACGUUCACACUACGCGCAAGCGAACUAAUGCGGGUAGAAUUUAUGUGUGUUCAGGCUAUUAAGCCAUUACAGUUUGUUUACAAAUUGAAUUAGCACUCGUAUAAACCCAAAAUAUUUCAAAUAGACCCAAGAAAUUUAACUGAAAAGCAUUCGAGUUUACACGUUUGUGUUCACACGAAGCUAUCAAGCGCUCCGCCGUUUCACCUCGCUCCGUUUAGAAACCGUGCUCAAAUUGUUACGGCAAAAGUGACGUGAAAGUUUUCAAACGAUUUCGCUCCAGCAUAGAGUGAAUUAGCGAUGGCUUAUUGUGACUUUUCUACGCUGUUUUCAAAAAUUAAAAUAGCUCCGGCGUGGCGGAACACUUGGCAGCUUCUUGUGACUUGCGAACACAAACACGUGGCAGGUUUUGCCGGAUAAUUUGCAGAAAUUUACUUCGAAAUUCGUUCAAGUAAAAUUCGGACAGAAAUUCGAUGUAACUUGUGACUGAUUGACAAGCGUUGCUGUGUUUACUUACAUGUUAAUGCAUUUUUUAGUAUUACUGCAUUCCUUAACCUCGCCCUUAAUAUGAAAGCCAUUUCUAUUUUCUAGACACGCACCUCGCAAGGAAGCUUUAUUGACUAUAUACUAAAACAAAUUGUUUUGAGUUCAGUUCACAUAGCAGUCUCUUAAUUCGAGCAACAGUUUAAUAACUAUUAUUUUUAACACUUGAAUAAUUCAAACUUAUAUAUACGAACGAAAACUGCAAACUAUAUAUAAAUAAAGCGUGUCAAUUUUCGACCCAUUCUCAACAUGCAGGAUACGCUGUUACAGCGAGUUAGUUUUUGGUGGCCAUGCAUGCAAAAGUGGGCCGCUUAUUUUGCUUACGAGUUACGUGGACGUAUAAUUAUCGCUGUUACAUAAACGUUCCGGUGUUCAAGAGCUACAUAUAGCCGAUAAAAAUUGCGUGCUCAUUAUAAUCGCCGAUCACAUAGCUUUAUCACAGUCUCAAACCUUCAGACAAACAUAUCCACAUCCCUCUCCCCCCCUUCGGACAUCCUAAGACAUUUUUCCUCUUCCCCCCUUCGGACAUCCUAAGACAUUUUUCCUCCCUCCCCCUUCGGACAGCAAAAAUUUCCUCCGUGGGGGGGGGGUAUGGAUCUUUUCUGGAACAACCCAUUUAUUCCAAUCAAAUUUUACGUUUCCAAUUUUAAACAUUAGUCAUUAGUCCUAAAAAAAUAUCAUGUGGUUCAGAUUUCAAUCCUGAAAAAUAAGAUAGGUGGGUCAGAAAACAAACUUUCUUGGAAUAUUUUUUGGCUUGACAUUGGCCAGCAAUUGCUGUGACCAGUUGACUUUUCCAUAAUAUAUAGACCUUUCAAGAAGCAAUGGCUGUGGGCAACAGACAAUUAUUAUAGUUUUGGCAUCACAUUACAUCAGAAAACAAACAACAACAAAAAAUAGGGUAAGCAAACAACCCAACCACAUAGAGAAAAAACAGGGCAGAGAAAAUAGGGUUGGCUGGAAAACAGGAACCACAGGAUAUUUUUUGUUUCGGGCUCUAAUGCUCUGCACAUGUUAAUGAGUUUUUUAUCUCACUAGCCAAGCUAUUCACAUCCUCAGUAAAAUUCUCAUCAUUUGUUAUAGAUAUGCAGUGCAUGUUCCGGGAUGUCGCAAGAGCUGAUCAUGAUUACAGAAAAUGGACACAUUCCAAGAUCCUGAAUAAGAGGUAUAUGAUUUUUCUUCUAAUUAUUUCUAACCUUUGUAUUUCUUGGACAAUUUUCUUUGUAAGAUAAUCUGUUUCAUGUUCUCAAUAGUGAUUUUUUUUAAAUUUUCUAGAUGUGUGUUGCAAUUUCCAAGAAUGUCUUGAGUUGUUGGCUGAAGUGUUUUUGAUCACAAAAAUGAACACUGUCAUUGGAAAGUAUAUAAAAGGUCUUGAUAUUUUCCCGCCUUAUCUUACAUGAAAUGCUUUGAAAGUUAUGUGAUUGCUUGUGACCAGUAGUUUCAAAAAUCCCAGCAGAAUAUUGCAAAAAUAGCAUGACCAUCUUACUUAAAUAAAAAGAACAAUAAUAAUAAACACAAUCUGUAAACCUAAAAAAUUGCGAGUUCACAAUAAUUGCACUCUUUUUAUUCUAUUAUUACACAACUAUUUUGAUUUUGG